GUAGGGAAUCUUCCGCAAUGGGCGAAAGCCUGACGGAGCAAUGCCGCGUGAGUGAUGAAGGUUUUCGGAUCGUAAAGCUCUGUUGCCAGGGAAGAACGCUUGGGAGAGUAACUGCUCUCAAGGUGACGGUACCUGAGAAGAAAGCCCCGGCUAACUACGUGCCAGCAGCCGCGGUAAUACGUAGGGGGCAAGCGUUGUCCGGAAUUAUUGGGCGUAAAGCGCGCGCAGGCGGUCAUGUAAGUCUGGUGUUUAAUCCCGGGGCUCAACCCCGGAUCGCACUGGAAACUGGGUGACUUGAGUGCAGAAGAGGAGAGUGGAAUUCCACGUGUAGCGGUGAAAUGCGUAGAGAUGUGGAGGAACACCAGUGGCGAAGGCGACUCUCUGGGCUGUAACUGACGCUGAGGCGCGAAAGCGUGGGGAGCAAACAGGAUUAGAUACCCUGGUAGUCCACGCCGUAAACGAUGAGUGCUAGGUGUUAGGGGUUUCGAUACCCUUGGUGCCGAAGUUAACACA
rnacentral:rRNA from 1 species